CAUGAAGCCGGAAUCGCUAGUAAUCGCGGAUCAGAAUGCCGCGGUGAAUACGUUCCCGGGUCUUGUACACACCGCCCGUCACACCAUGGGAGUCGAUAACGCCCGAAGUCAGUGACCCAACCGUAAAGGAGGGAGCUGCCGAAGGCGGGAUGGAUAACUGGGGUGAAGUCGUAACAAGGUAGC
rnacentral:rRNA from 1 species